GCGCCCGUAGCUCAACUGGACAGAGCAUGUGACUUCGGAUCACAGGGUUGAGGGUUCGAAUCCUUCCGGGCGUA
rnacentral:tRNA from 2 species